rnacentral:rRNA from 1 species
ACGCUGGCGGCAGGCCUAACACAUGCAAGUCGAGCGGAUGAGAGGAGCUUGCUCCUUAAUUCAGCGGCGGACGGGUGAGUAAUGCCUAGGAAUCUGCCUGGUAGUGGGGGACAACGUUUCGAAAGGAACGCUAAUACCGCAUACGUCCUACGGGAGAAAGCAGGGGACCUUCGGGCCUUGCGCUAUCAGAUGAGCCUAGGUCGGAUUAGCUAGUUGGUGAGGUAAUGACUCACCAAGGCGACGAUCCGUAACUGGUCUGGGAGGAUGAUCAGUCACACUGGAACUGAGACACGGUCCAGACUCCUACGGGAGGCAGCAGUGGGGAAUAUUGGACAAUGGGCGAAAGCCUGAUCCAGCCAUGCCGCGUGUGUGAAGAAGGUCGUCGGAUUGUAAAGCACUUUAAGUUGGGAGGAAGGCCAGUAAAUUAAUACUUUGCUGUUUUGACGUUACCGACAGAAUAAGCACCGGCUAACUCUGUGCCAGCAGCCGCGGUAAUACAGAGGGUGCAAGCGUUAAUCGGAAUUACUGGGCGUAAAGCGCGCGUAGGUGGUUCGUUAAGUUGGAUGUGAAAUCCCCGGGCUCAACCUGGGAACUGCAUUCAAAACUGUCGAGCUAGAGUAUGGUAGAGGGUGGUGGAAUUUCCUGUGUAGCGGUGAAAUGCGUAGAUAUAGGAAGGAACACCAGUGGCGAAGGCGACCACCUGGACUGAUACUGACACUGAGGUGCGAAAGCGUGGGGAGCAAAC